UACAGAGGUGGCAAGCGUUGUUCGGAAUUACUGGGCGUAAAGGGCGAGUAGGCGGCUUCCUAAGUCAGACGUGAAAUCCCCCGGCUUAACCUGGGAACUGCGUCUGAUACUGGGAGGCUAGAGUAUGGGAGAGGGAGGUAGAAUUCCAGGUGUAGCGGUGAAAUGCGUAGAUAUCUGGAGGAAUACCGGUGGCGAAGGCGGCAUCCUGGACCAUUUACUGACGCUGAGGCGCGAAAGCUAGGGGAGCAAACGGG
rnacentral:rRNA from 1 species